CGUGCACAGAUGUGCGCCGUCUUUAGGAUAUAUUUUGCAUAUUUCCGCAUCACUGCUCGUCACAGUUUAUCUUCAUAUUUGGUACAAAAUGUGAAGUGUUUUCAUGCACUCACACCUAAAGCUGCCUCAGGAUGAUGUCACCAACAGUUCUGAUGGUCAUGUUGGUUUUCAUGACUCAAGGAUCUUCUGCCAACAAUUUUCUGACUCAGUCAGAUAAAGUCAAGUCUGUCAGUCUUGGAGGGACUGUGACCAUCAGCGCCACAGGAAGCUCCAACAUUGGGGCUGAUCUCAGUUGGUACCUUCAGAAACCUGGACAGGCUCCCAAACUUCUUAUAUACAAAGCAUCAACUCUGUUCUCAGGAACUCCAUCUCGAUUCAGUGGCACUCGCUCUGGUUCUCAGUACUCUCUGACUAUCACUGGUGUUCAGCAGGAAGAUGUUGGAGAUUACUACUGUCUCGGCUACCAUGGUAGUGGAGUGUUCACACAGCGAUUUAGAGCCGUACAAAAACCUCCCUCAGUUUGAGGACUUUAAAAACAGCCUGCUGCAGCUGCUGUGGUUUGAACAGGAAACUGUGACGAGGACGACGAGUCCAGUGAACGCAGCACCGCAGUGAACGUGUGUCAUGAACCAGAAC